GUAUAGUAUGAAAGGAGAGAUGCUUAGCACUCUCCUAGACUGGGAAGGUAUUACUGCAGGAUAGUUUCAGACAAGAUAGCUUCAUUUU